rnacentral:rRNA from 1 species
CAGCCGCCGCGGUAAUGCGAAGGGGGCUAGCGUUACUCGGAAUUACUGGGCGUAAAGGGCGCGUAGGCGGCACGAUUAGUCAGGCGUGAAAUUCCUGGGCUCAACCUGGGGACUGCGCUUGAUACGGUCGAGCUAGAGGAUGGAAGAGGGUCGUGGAAUUCCCAGUGUAGAGGUGAAAUUCGUAGAUAUUGGGAAGAACACCGGUGGCGAAGGCGGCGACCUGGUCCAUUACUGACGCUGAGGCGCGACAGCGUGGGGAGCAAACAGGAUUAGAUACCCGUGUAGUCCCUGUCUCUUAUAA